AUUGAACGCUGGCGGCAUGCCUUACACAUGCAAGUCGAACGGUAACGCGGGGCAACCUGGCGACGAGUGGCGAACGGGUGAGUAAUGCAUCGGAACGUGCCCAGUAGUGGGGGAUAGCCCGGCGAAAGCCGGAUUAAUACCGCAUACGACCUACGGGUGAAAGCGGGGGACCGUAAGGCCUCGCGCUAUUGGAGCGGCCGAUGUCAGAUUAGGUAGUUGGUGGGGUAAAGGCCUACCAAGCCUUCGAUCUGUAGCUGGUCUGAGAGGACGACCAGCCACACUGGGACUGAGACACGGCCCAGACUCCUACGGGAGGCAGCAGUGGGGAAUUUUGGACAAUGGGCGCAAGCCUGAUCCAGCCAUGCCGCGUGCGGGAAGAAGGCCUCGGUUGUAACGACUUUGUCUAGGAGAAACGACUACCGGCGUAAUACCUACGUGUGGAGUGACGGUACCGGAACGUAAGAAGAC
rnacentral:rRNA from 1 species